rnacentral:rRNA from 1 species
UGCGUAACGCGUAUACAACCUACCUGUUACACGGGGAUAGCCUUGCGAAAGCGAGAUUAAUACCCGAUAGUACUGCGAUGAGGCAUCUUAUUGCAGUUAAAGCUGAGGCGGUAACAGAGGGGUAUGCGUUCCAUUAGCUAGUUGGUAGUGUAACGGACUACCAAGGCGACGAUGGGUAGGGGUUCUGAGAGGAUGAUCCCCCACACUGGUACUGAGAUACGGACCAGACUCCUACGGGAGGCAGCAGUAGGGAAUAUUGGGCAAUGGACGGAAGUCUGACCCAGCCACGCCGCGUGCAGGAAGAAGGUCUUCUGGAUUGUAAACUGCUUUUCUUGGGGAAGAAAAAGCUUCUGCGGGAGUAAUUGACGGUACUCAAGGAAUAAGCAUCGGCUAACUCCGUGCCAGCAGCCGCGGUAAUACGGAGGAUGCGAGCGUUGUCCGGAUUUACUGGGUUUAAAGGGUGCGUAGGCGG